AACGAACGCUGGCGGCAUGCCUAACACAUGCAAGUCGAACGAGACCUUCGGGUCUAGUGGCGCACGGGUGCGUAACGUGUGGGAACCUGCCCUUAGGUUCGGAAUAACUCCCCGAAAGGGGUGCUAAUACCGGAUAAUGUCUUCGGACCAAAGAUUUAUCGCCUUUGGAUGGGCCCGCGUUGGAUUAGCUAGUUGGUAGGGUAAAAGCCUACCAAGGCGACGAUCCAUAGCUGGUCUGAGAGGAUGAUCAGCCACACUGGGACUGAGACACGGCCCAGACUCCUACGGGAGGCAGCAGUGGGGAAUAUUGGACAAUGGGCGAAAGCCUGAUCCAGCAAUGCCGCGUGAGUGAUGAAGGCCUUAGGGUUGUAAAGCUCUUUUACCCGGGAUGAUAAUGACAGUACCGGGAGAAUAAGCGCCGGCUAACUCCGU
rnacentral:rRNA from 1 species